CAGGCAUGGUGGCGGGUGCCUGUAAUCCCAGCUACUCAGGAUGCUGAAGCAGGAGAAUCGCUUGAAACCGGGAGGUGGAGGCUGCAGUGAGCCGAUAUUGCGUCAUGCACUCCAGCCUAGGCAACAGAGUAAGACUCUAUCUCAAAAAUAAAAAAUAAAAAAAGACAUUUAAUUAAGUCAGAAAAAGGAUAAAAACCUAGGUGUUCUAUCUUUAAGUAGGCAAGCACAUAGCAUGGUGCACCUGUCUUUGCCACUUGCUAUCUGUGAGAGACUGAGCAAGUUGUUUAAACUCUUUUAAGUGUCAGUUUCCUCAAAUGUAAAAUGGGGAUGAUGAUAACAGGCCCAUCUUGUUAAAUUAAGUUAAAUUAAAUGUGUUAAAAAUUUUAAGUACCUAGAAAGGUAUGUUGCACUACUGUAAAAAAAGAAGAGAAACCAAAAAAGCCCGAAGCUUUUCCUGUUUCAGCAUCUGCCUUUGAACCUGUCUUUAUCUGAGAGUGAAAGAUAUUAAUAGAAUCAAUUUCCUGAGUUUAUUGUCUGUGAAAUACAGACUAAAGAGACAAGCACCAGGUAAGUACUCAACAAAUAUUGUCUGUAGUUAUUAAAAUAUUUACUAAUGUGGGUGUUCUCCCAUAUUUCACUAUUACAGAUAUCCCUAAAAUGAGCAUUUUUACACACAUAUUUUUGCAUGAGAAUGAUUUUUCUGCAGACUGAAAUCUGAGAAGUGGGAUUGCUCGGUCCAGGAUAUGGAUGUUGUAAAUUUCAAUAGAUGUCACACAAUUUCCCUUUAAGAAUUGACUACUUUAAAUCCCUCACAAUGUUUUUAUCACAACUCCACCAAGUUUUUUUGUUGUUCCUGUUGUUUUAGACUAGGGGAUCUUACUUUGUCACCCAGACUGGAGUGAAUUGGCACAAUUAUAGCUCACUACAGCCUCCAACUCCUGGGCUCAGGAGAUACUCCCGCCUCAGCCUCCUGAGUAGCUGGGGAUACAGGUGUGCACCACCAUGCCUGGCUAGUAAUUUUUUUUUUUUUUUGUAAAGACAAGGGUUUCUCUGUGUUGCCCAGGCUGGUCCCAAACUCCUGGUCUCAAGCAAUCUUCCUUCUUUGGCCUCCCAAACUACUGGGAUUGCAGGCAUGAGCCACCUCAACUGCUCUCAAUUCAGGAUAUUACCAACGGUUUUCCAUUUUUAUCAGAAUAAAAGCAGAAAAGUGGUAUUUUAGUUAUUUCAUUAUAACUUAUAUUUAUUUCUUAGUGAGAUUAAGCAUGCUUAUAUGUCCUUUGGCUUAUUCAUGUUUUUUAUCCAUUUUUAAAAUUUUAAUUUAAUAUUCAUUUCUUAAACUUACGUAUUAUUAUUAUUUUUUUGAGACCAAGUCUGUCUCUGUUGCCCAGGCUGGAGUGCAGUGGCAAAAUCUCAGCUCACUGUAACCUCUGCCUCCAGAGUUCAAGCAAUUCUCCUGCCUCAGCCUCCGAGUAGCUGGGAUUACAGGCAUGCGUCACGACAUCCGGCUAAUUUUGUAUUUUUAAUAGAGACAGGGUUUCACCAUAUUGUCCAGGCUGGCCUCGAACUCCUGAUCUCAAGUGAUCCACCCACCUCGACCUCCUGGGCUCAAGCAAUCCUUCUACCUCAGCCUCACAAAGUGCGGGGAUUAAGGCAUGGGCCACUGCGCCCAGCCAAACUUAAUAUUUUUUAGAUUUUUUUUUUUUUUUUUAGAGCAGCUGUUAUAUGCCAGCAUGGUUUCUGGGCACUAACCAAGCAGACAAGAUUUCUGGUCUGGUUGGUCUGAGCUUGGGUACUGACAUUUUUGCUUAUCAUUUUGUAAAGGAUCACUGUCAAUUCUGGAAAUUCAUCCUUUGUCUAUGAUGCGCUACAAUUUGUGGAGGGGGAAGAAAUUGCAUUAUGAAGGCAGAGACACACAUGGAAGAAUCAGAUGCUGAGGCCCUGACGGCAUCCUUGAUCGCAGCUGAAGCAGGGUAGGAACAGCAGCGUCAAGGUAAUAUCACAAUCUGGAAUGCCCUGAUUUACAGCAAUUCUUUCUUUUUAUUCUAUACUAAUUAAACAACGCUGAGUGUUAUGGCCUGACAAUGAAAUCUCAGGCCCAAAUCCAAAAGUCAAAAUUGAAGCAAGUUACCCAAUGUGGCCUGAUGAUAGAGUCCUUCGGGUAGUAGAUUGGAAAUCAAUAGUUUUCAUCUGAGUAUAAAGUGCUUUUAUUCAAGGGGACAAUUUGUAUCUAAUCCGUGCCAAUGACUUAGCACCAAACAUGCAGGGCGCUGAUACCUGAUGUUGAUAAAUGACAGCAACGUUUCAUUACCAUUUGCGUCAGAGGAGACUGGGAUGGGCACCAAUUCUGCUGACUAGGACAGUUCCUGGCAGUUUGCCUGAAAAGGUGAAAUUAAGCUGCUGUCCUGGAGACAGCUAUAAACACUUCUUCCGUCUUUUCUGUCAGGUGUUUUCUCACAAGGCAACCACAUCCACCAUGAGAAAUCAGGUCAGGAUCUGAAAAGCUAUGUUCUCUGAGAAAAAAACAGAGCAUGGUCCAUAUGACCUGGAGGGAAAGGAUAUUAAGGAAAGUUCUCAAGGCUCACACCUGUAAUCCCAGCACUUUGGGAGGUGGAGGCAGGAAGAUCUUUAAGGUCAGGAGUUCGAGACCACCCUGGGCAACAUAGAGAGAACCCCCCCCCCCAUCUCUACAAAAAAAUUAGCCAGGUAUAGUGGUGCAUGCCUGUAAUCCCAGCUACUUGGGAGGCUGAGGUGGGAGAAUUGCUUGAGUCCAGGAGUUCAAGGCUGCAGUGAGCUAUGAUUGCACCACUGCACUCCAGCCAGAGGAACAGAGCAAGACUCCAUUUUUAAAAUAUGUCUAAUAAUAUAUAAAUUAAUUAAUUUAAGGAAAGGGAAACUUUCCACAACACACACACACACAUACACACACACACACACACACAGACACACACACACACCCCGAAUCACCUUUGAAAUAUCCUUCUUUAACCUGAAAAUAUCCUUAGAGAAGUGAUCCUUUAGAUGUUUGUUUAUUAUAAGGUAACAUCUUAAAAGGUAUAAUUUCCACUUGCCUCUUGCUGCCUCAAAGGGCCAAAUUGUGACUUUUGUGACAAGUCCAUGUGAUUUGUAUAUUGGACAUUUGGGGCUAUGGAAUAUGAUGUUGAAACCAACAGUGUUUGCUUUUCUCACAGAGUUGUAAGUAAGCAUUCUUAGCCCAGAAUUAUGUUAACGAGGCAGGUGGAUCACCUGAGGUCAGGAGUUCGAGACCAGCCUGGCCAACAUGGCGGAACCCCAUCACUAUGAAAAAUACAAAAAUUACCCAGGAAUGGUGCCAGGCACCUGUAAUUCCAGCUACUCAGGACGCUGAGGCAGGAGAAUCACUUGAACCCGGGAGGCGGAGGUUGCAAUGAGCCAUGUUCUCACCACGAUACUACUCCAGCCUGGGUGACAGAGUGAGAUGCCAUCUCAAAAAAAAAAAAAAAGUCUGUUCAUUGGAAAACACUAUAGAACACAAAUGAGAUGUUACAACAGACUAGUGACCCCCAAAUAUUUUCUCCAUGUGAGCUUCUCAGGUUUAUGACGCAUUCUUCUGAUUUUAGAUUUAAUAACAGAUAUUUUUAUUUAGCUUAUGCUAUGUAAAUUUAUAAUGUAUGUAUUUUGCUUAUACUAUGCAUCUAUAAGUUAUAUAUUUUGUUUAUAGUAUGAAUGUUAUUUAUAGAUAAACAUAUAGACACUAUGUAACUAUAUAUGUAUAUUAUAUAUGGCUUAUAUUAUUUUAAUUAUUAUAUAAUAAGCCAUAUGUAAUACCCAAUUAUAUAUUUGAAAAUUCCCAAUUAUAUAUUAAAUCAUAUAUGUAUACCAUGUAUAUUUUAUAUGUAUGCAUUGUUUGUAAUCCUUAAUCUUCACAAGAACCACAAAAUAUCCAUUAUUAUACUCAUUUUUGUAAAUUAAAAAAUUGAAUUUCAGCAAGGAUUGUUAGCUUGUUAAAUGUCACACAGCUGAUAUGUAACACAACUUUGAUUGAAAUACCUAUCAUUCUUCCUCAAUCUCAAUGCUAGUAUUAAUAACAAUGAUAAUGCCACUAUG
rnacentral:lncRNA from 10 species